rnacentral:tRNA from 1 species
GAAAAAAUAGCUCAAUUGGGUAGAGUGACAGUUUGUCAUACUGAGUGUUGUGGGUUCAAGUCCCAUUUUUUUCGA